rnacentral:rRNA from 1 species
CAGUAGCCGCGGUAAUACAGAGGGUGCAAGCGUUAAUCGGAAUUACUGGGCGUAAAGCGCGCUUAGGUGGUUUGUUAAGUUGGAUGUGAAAGCCCCGGGCUCAACCUGGGAACUGCAUCCAAAACUGGCAAGCUAGAGUACGGUAGAGGGUGGUGGAAUUUCCUGUGUAGCGGUGAAAUGCGUAGAUAUAGGAAGGAACACCAGUGGCGAAGGCGACCACCUGGACUGAUACUGACACUGAGGUGCGAAAGCGUGGGGAGCAAACAGGAUUAGAUACCCGCGUAGUCCCUGUCUCUUAUAC